UAUAAUAAACUCACCCAUAGAAAGUCCACAUGACUGCUUGCAGGCAAGGUGUACUUUCUAUGAGGGGAGUAAACAGACAUGAACAAGUAGGACGGUAGUCCGGAUUGUGAAUGUCUGUUACGAUUUCGAGAGUGCGAUAGCACGGAGAAAUCGUAUUAUA
rnacentral:sRNA from 10 species